rnacentral:tRNA from 1 species
ACAACAGGUAGUUUAAUACUAAAAUAUUAGUUUUGGAAACUAAAGUUAAGAAUUUUUUUGUUG